GUGCCUUGUCAAAUGAAUGCAUAUUGGCGCAUUUUAAUUAGUUAACGCCUAAUCUGCAUAUGAAUGUGGCGAUUGUGAUGACGUUAUUAGACACAGAUUCUACUGUAGCUGUUGUCUCCGUUAAGUAAGAACCCUCUUUGUCUGAGACACCUGGAGGAGAGGAAAAAGAGAAGCAAGAGAAGCCAUAAGUCUUGACCAUCAAGUACAGGUAUGGAGUCAAGGAAAUGCAGUUUAGCAUGUAAC